UACGUAGGGUGCAAGCGUUAAUCGGAAUCACUGGGCGUAAAGCGCACGUAGGCGGACUCUUAAGUCGGUGGUGAAAUCCUGGAGCUCAACUCCAGAACUGCCUUCGAUACUGGGAGUCUCGAGUCCGGGAGAGGUGAGUGGAACUGCGAGUGUAGAGGUGAAAUUCGUAGAUAUUCGCAAGAACACCAGUGGCGAAGGCGGCUCACUGGCCCGGUACUGACGCUGAGGUGCGAAAGCGUGGGGAGCAAACAGG
rnacentral:rRNA from 1 species